rnacentral:rRNA from 1 species
AAUAGAUACCCUGGUAGUCCACGCCCUAAACGAUGCUCACUAGGUGUUGGGGAAGCGAUUCCUUGGUACCGUAGCUAACGCGUGAAGUGAGCCGCCUGGGGAGUACGGCCGCAAGGUUAAAACUCAAAGGAAUUGACGGGGACCCGCACAAGCGGUGGAUGAUGUGGAUUAAUUCGAUGCAACGCGAACAACCUUACCUACCCUUGACAUGUCCGGAAGCCUGCUGAAAGGCGGGGGUGCUCGAAAGAGAACCGGAACACAGGUGCUGCAUGGCUGUCGUCAGCUCGUGUCGUGAGAUGUUGGGUUAAGUCCCGCAACGAGCGCAACCCUUGUCCCUAGUUGCUACGCAAGGGCACUCUAGGGAGACUGCCGGUGACAAACCGGAGGAAGGUGGGGAUGACGUCAAGUCCUCAUGGCCCUUAUGGGUAGGGCUUCACACGUCAUACAAUGGACGGUACAGAGGGUUGCCAACCCGGCGAGGGGGAGCCAAUCCCAGAAAGCCGUUCGUAGUCCGGAUCGCAGUCUGCAACUCGACUGCGUG